rnacentral:rRNA from 1 species
CAGUAGCCGCGGUAAAACAGAGGGUGCAAGCGUUAAUCGGAAUUACUGGGCGUAAAGCGCGCGUAGGUGGUUUGUUAAGUUGGAUGUGAAAUCCCCGGGCUCAACCUGGGAACUGCAUCCAAAACUGGCAAGCUAGAGUAUGGUAGAGGGUGGUGGAAUUUCCUGUGUAGCGGUGAAAUGCGUAGAUAUAGGAAGGAACACCAGUGGCGAAGGCGACCACCUGGACUGAUACUGACACUGAGGUGCGAAAGCGUGGGGAGCAAACAGGAUUAGAUACCCCCGUAGUCCCUGUCUCUUAUAC